rnacentral:tRNA from 1 species
GAUAAUGAAAGGAAUUAAACCUUUAUGAGCAGGGCUACAGCCUGCCGCUUAACAUCGGGCCACUUACC